rnacentral:rRNA from 1 species
UGGGGAAUUUUGGACAAUGGGCGAAAGCCUGAUCCAGCAAUGCCGCGUGUGUGAAGAAGGCCUUCGGGUUGUAAAGCACUUUUGUCCGGAAAGAAAUCCUUGGCUCUAAUACAGUCGGGGGAUGACGGUACCGGAAGAAUAAGCACCGGCUAACUACGUGCCAGCAGCCGCGGUAAUACGUAGGGUGCAAGCGUUAAUCGGAAUUACUGGGCGUAAAGCGUGCGCAGGCGGUUUGCUAAGACCGAUGUGAAAUCCCCGGGCUCAACCUGGGAACUGCAUUGGUGACUGGCAGGCUAGAGUAUGGCAGAGGGGGGUAGAAUUCCACGUGUAGCAGUGAAAUGCGUAGAGAUGUGGAGGAAUACUGAUGGCGAAGGCAGCCCCCUGGGCCAAUACUGACGCUCAUGCACGAAAGCGUGGGGAGCAAACAGGAUUAGAUACCCUGGUAGUCCACGCCCUAAACGAUGUCAACUAGUUGUUGGGGAUUCAUUUCCUUAGUAACGUAGCUAACGCGUGAAGUUGACCGCCU